AGAGGAGCUUGCUCUUCUUGGAUGAGUUGCGAACGGGUGAGUAACGCGUAGGUAACCUGCCUUGUAGCGGGGGAUAACUAUUGGAAACGAUAGCUAAUACCGCAUAACAAUGGAUGACACAUGUCAUUUAUUUGAAAGGGGCAAUUGCUCCACUACAAGAUGGACCUGCGUUGUAUUAGCUAGUAGGUGAGGUAAUGGCUCACCUAGGCGACGAUACAUAGCCGACCUGAGAGGGUGAUCGGCCACACUGGGACUGAGACACGGCCCAGACUCCUACGGGAGGCAGCAGUAGGGAAUCUUCGGCAAUGGGGGCAACCCUGACCGAGCAACGCCGCGUGAGUGAAGAAGGUUUUCGGAUCGUAAAGCUCUGUUGUAAGUCAAGAACGGGUGUGAGAGUGGAAAGUUCACACUGUGACGGUAGCUUACCAGAAAGGGACGGCUAACUACGUGCCAGCAGCCGCGGUAAUACGUAGGUCCCGAGCGUUGUCCGGAUUUAUUGGGCGUAAAGCGAGCGCAGGCGGUUUGAUAAGUCUGAAGUUAAAGGCUGUGGCUCAACCAUAGUUCGCUUUGGAAACUGUCAAACUUGAGUGCAGAAGGGGAGAGUGGAAUUCCAUGUGUAGCGGUGAAAUGCGUAGAUAUAUGGAGGAACACCGGUGGCGAAAGCGGCUCUCUGGUCUGUAACUGACGCUGAGGCUCGAAAGCGUGGGGAGCGAACAGGAUUAGAUACCCUGGUAGUCCACGCCGUAAACGAUGAGUGCUAGGUGUUGGAUCCUUUCCGGGAUUCAGUGCCGCAGCUAACGCAUUAAGCACUCCGCCUGGGGAGUACGACCGCAAGGUUGAAACUCAAAGGAAUUGACGGGGGCCCGCACAAGCGGUGGAGCAUGU
rnacentral:rRNA from 1 species